AUUGAACGCUGGCGGCGUGCCUAAUCAAUGCAAGUCGCACUGAGUGGCGCACGGGUUAGUCAUGUAUAGCUAAUAUGCCCUACACUAGAGGACAACAGUUGGAAACGACUGCUAAUCCUCUAUAGUGUAGGAUGAGGCUAUAUUGUAUCAGCUAGGUGGUGAGGUCAUGGCUCACCAAGGCUAUGACGCGUAACUGGUCUGUGAGGAUGAUCAGGCACACGGGAACUGAGACACGGUCCAGACUCCUACGGGAGGCAGCAGUAGGGAAUAUUGCUCAAUGGGGGAAACCCUGAAGCAGCAACGCCGCGUGGAGGAUGACACUUUUCGGAGCGUAAACUCCUUUUGUUAGGGAAGCGGUACCUAACGAAGAAGCACCGGCUAACUCCGUGCCAGCAGCCGCGGUAAUUC
rnacentral:rRNA from 1 species